rnacentral:rRNA from 1 species
GAUGAACGCUGGCGGCGUGCCUAAUACAUGCAAGUCGAGCGAGCAGACGAGGAGCUUGCUCCUCUGACGUUAGCGGCGGACGGGUGAGUAACACGUGGAUAACCUACCUAUAAGACUGGGAUAACUUCGGGAAACCGGAGCUAAUACCGUAUAACAUGUUGAACCGCAUGGUUCAACAGUGAAAGACGGUCUUGCUGUCACUUAUAGAUGGAUCCGCGCCGCAUUAGCUAGUUGGUAAGGUAACGGCUUACCAAGGCAACGAUGCGUAGCCGACCUGAGAGGGUGAUCGGCCACACUGGAACUGAGACACGGUCCAGACUCCUACGGGAGGCAGCAGUAGGGAAUCUUCCGCAAAGGGCGAAAGCCUGACGGAGCAACGCCGCGUGAGUGAAGAAGGUCUUCAGAUCGUAAAACUCUGUUAUUAGGGAAGAACAAAUGUGUAAGUAACUAUGCACGUCUUGACGGUACCUAAUCAGAAAGCCACGGCUAACUACGUG